rnacentral:lncRNA from 1 species
GUUCCUUCACCGUUUCUUUCUGCCACUCAUUUUACAGAUGAGGAAACUGAGGCAGGCUGGGCCACGCGGGCUGGGAAGGGGUUCGCAGUUGGGCGCUCCCGACCACGGGCAGACGCUGUCUUAGGGCCGGGCGGGGGCGGGGGGACGGGCCGGAGCCCACUCUCACGCACCGAGCGAGAGGCGCGCGCUCUCCACUUUCACCGACUGUCUCCACUGCUCGAUGGAACAGGAGUUCUGAUAAUCCGCCACUUCCUCCACUGCGGGGGGCAAAGCAGAGAGGGGGGCUGGGAGCGGAGCCUGCAGGCUCCCGAUAUCCCUUCCCAGCCGCUCACCCUCUCCCCCGCGGGACCCAGGCGGGCGGGAGGGGGAAAGGUCGGGGAGGUCGGAGGGACGGAGCAAGUCUGCUCCCACAGCGCCUCAGGGCCCCAAGCCCUUUCCUGCCAUCUCGCCUCCCCCUGGCUCAGUUUCCCCGUCUGCAGAAGGAGCUGUUCUCGCUGGCUCCGGGCCCACGGAGGAGCCCCUGAAGGGGCAUCCUGGUCCUGCCCCCCCAUAUUGAGAGCCGGAGCCCCCCCUGGGAAUCCGGGGACCCCCCCCCUUUACCUUCCUCCAUGGGUUUGCAGAUCAGGAUGUUCUCGUAGGAGAUCGUGUCGUCAUCGUCUGUGGGAGAGGCCGGAGGAAAGCCCCGGGAGGUUGGGGAGCAGGCCCGGUACCUGCCGUGGCCACCUCCUCCGGGAGCCCUCCCUGAUUCCCCCCCCCCCCCCCGCCCCGUGUCUCACUCUGGGGCCUCCCCCUGGGACCUUAUAUUCCCUAGGAAAGCCGAAGGGCCACAGAAAGCGAGGCCCGCCUUCGGGAAGGACACCAAAAGUGGCCGAGGCCGGGAAGGCUCCUGCGGGCCUGCUGAGCCCCGAAGGUAGCGGGGCUUCCCACGGCAGGCAGGGGCCCGGCCGGCACAGAGGCCCAGGGGGGCACCCGGAUGAGCCACUGCCAACCCCGAAGGGGUGCUGGAAGGGGUUUAGGGGGAAGGCGGGCGGCGGAGGGGAAACCUUACAAAGGAUGCUGGGGGGAGAAUAG